UCAAAUAGGCCAAAUAGUCCUUAUUUCCUUUUUAUUUCGUGCCCAUUUUUUCGUUAUUUUAAAAUAAAUCAGUGGUAAAAACAUAAACUUGUUUUCUCUCUUAUUAUCUCUUUUCUCGAACCGAUCGAACAUAGAAAAUCCUUUCUUCCUAGUUUUCUCCUUCAACCAUUUCUCCUCUACAUAGAAAUUGAACUCGAUCAAUCUCACGUUCAUCUUUCAGGGUAUCAUUUAAAACCUUUUACUCGGUUGGUUCAAGGGAGCGCUAAACCAAUAAAGAAUAGUGAAGGGUAGAGAAGAAGAUUGGUUAGCAUCUGAAGAAGAUCCAUCAAGAGCCGCUGAAGCUGCCCACAAAAGGCAAGAGGAUUUUGAGAAGUCAGCUGCAGGAAGAGCUGCUAAAGCGCAAAUGACAGCAAUGGCAAAGCAAUCUGCUACACCUAAAACUGGUGAACCGGUUCUCAAGGUUACGUGAAGAACAUGGAAUUAUGCCGAGAUUCAUCCUCGAUUUUGAAAAGAAUAGAACUAUUGUUUCUUGAGACUACAAAUGGCUUUGUGCCUAGCAGGAUGCUUUUGUUUGUUCAUUUUUCCCUAGUUAGGUUGGCGGUACCAUUGGGUACAUAUUUAGAUAGGGUGUCUCUUAUUUGCUGUGUUGUUGCAAGAUUUUUUUGCUUUUUUGGGAAGCAUUUUUUGUA